UACGUAGGGUGCGAGCGUUAAUCGGAAUUACUGGGCGUAAAGCGUGCGCAGGCGGUUCGUGAUGUCUGAUGUGAAAGCCCCGGGCUCAACCUGGGAAUUGCAUUGGAAACUAGCGGGCUGGAGCGUGGCAGAGGGGGGUGGAAUUCCACGUGUAGCAGUGAAAUGCGUAGAGAUGUGGAGGAACACCGAUGGCGAAGGCAGCCCCCUGGGCUAACACUGACGCUCAUGCACGAAAGCGUGGGGAGCAAACAGG
rnacentral:rRNA from 1 species